GGGAAUAGCUCAAAUGGUAGAGUGCAUGCUUAGCAUGCAUGAGGUCCUAGGUUCAAUUCCCAGUAUUUCUC
rnacentral:tRNA from 1 species